AUGGUAAAAGUUGGGGGUGGUUUGAGUAAACCAAUUUCUGUUCAAAGAGGAAUACGACAAGGUUGCCCGCUGUCUGGUUUGUUGUACAGUAUUGCUAUUGAACCUCUACUGUUUAAUCUAAGAAAGAUUUUAUGUGGGUUCUCAAUACCAAAUGUGAUUCAGAACACAAAUGUCUCUAUUACUGCUUAUGCUGAUGAUGUGACUGUGUUGGUUAGUGGUGGGCAAGAUAUUACUGCUCUGUCUGAAGUCCUUCAUCUGUAUGAGAAGGCUUCAUCAGCAAAGGUAAAUUGGGCCAAAAGUAAGGCUUUUUGGGCAGGUCAAGAUCCUCUACAUUGUUUGCCAUCACUGCCAGGAAAGCUUAAUUGGGGUAAAGCAGGGUUAAAAAUCUUGGGAGUUCAUUUUGAUUCAAAUGACUUUCAGAAGUUAAAUUGGGAGGGUGUUAUGGAGAAAGUAUGCACCCGGUUGUCUCACUGGAAUUGGCUGCUACCCAAACUAUCCUACAGGGGGAGAGACUUGAUUGUCAAUAACUUGGUUGCUUCCACAUUGUGGCACAGAUUUAAUGUGUUACAACCACCAGCUGGACUAGUGCAAGAAGUACAAAGAAAGUUGGUGAACUUUUUCUGGUCCGGACAACGUUGGGUGCGUUCCUCUGUACUGUUUCUUCCGAUACAAGAAGGAGGCCACAGUUUGGUGGAUAUCAGGUCUAGACUAAUGACUUUUCGUUUACAAGCUGCCCAGAGACUAUUAGACAACAAUGAUAGUGCUUGGUUUAACACCGCAGUGGUACUUUUGAGAAGAGCUGGUGGAAUGGGACUGGAUAAGCAUUUGUUUCUGAUGAAGCUAGAAGAGAAUGAGUUUACAGAUCUGACUCCUUUCUACAAAUCUGUUCUGGAAGCCUGGAAAGUUUUUGCAUUUUCAAGAUCACCUGAAGUACCUGCAGGGAUGUGGCUGUUGGAGGAGCCAUUGUUUCUUAACUCUUUCCUGCCUUCGAGACUUCUACAUUCAGCCUGUCUGCGUGCACGUUUACUGUCUGCUGGGUGCACAAAGCUGGGGCAUUUACUACACACCAGUUUGGAAACCUUGGGCAGGAAAGCUGGAGUUAAGUCAACAAGAGUAUUACAAAAGCUCGUCACAGAGGUGAUUGGAGAACUGGACUUUAACUAUCGUUCUUUCCUGGACAAUCCAGCUAUAAUAGAUGAAUGGAGAAGUGGAUGUGAGUAUUGUUUCCCCUCUCUGACUGUCAGAGCUGCGGUGGGGGACUGGCAGGAGCAGAGGAAAGGUUUACUGUCUUUCAGAACUCCACAAAUGGAUGGAUUUGAGUCAGUGGGAAAGAAGGCCCUUUAUGUUACCUGUGUAAAGGUGUCUAAUUUAAAAUCUUUGAGUGGGGUUCUUUCGACGAAAUGGACAGAGGUUUUUGGUAUUGACUCUUCCCCUAAAGGUAGUUGGCGUAUCCUGUACAAACGUCCGAUUGACCAGCGGACUGGUGACCUCCAGUGGAGGAUUGUACAUGGAUGUAUAGCUGCUAACAGACAUGUGGUGCAUCUUGAUCCUAGUGUUAGUGUGGGUUGUCCUUUUUGUGUAGAGACUGAAUCUGUCUUUCAUUUGUUCCUGCAGUGUACAAGGUUGAUGGAUUUGUUUUCCUUGUUAACAGAGUGGGUUACAUCUUUGGGUGAAACUUUUUCUUUUCAGUUGUUCAUUUUUGGUCCAAAGUACACUGUUGCGCAAAAGAAUGUUUUGGUUUUACUUAAUUUCCUUUUUGGUAAUGCAAAAUUAAACUCGAAAAAAUAA
rnacentral:lncRNA from 1 species